AAUGAACGCUGGCGGUAUGCCUAACACAUGCAAGUCGAACGGCAGCACAGUAAGAGCUUGCUCUUACGGGUGGCGAGUGGCGGACGGGUGAGGAAUACAUCGGAAUCUACUUUUUCGUGGGGGAUAACGUCGGGAAACUUACGCUGAUACCGCAUACGACCUACGUGUGAAAGCAGGGGAUCUUCGGACCUUGCGCGAUUGAAUGAGCCGAUGUCGGAUUAGCUAGUUGGCGGGGUAAAGGCCCACCAAGGCGACGAUCCGUAGCUGGUCUGAGAGGAUGAUCAGCCACACGGGAAGUGAGACACGGCCCAGACUCCUACGGGAGGAAGCAGUGGGGAAUAUUGGACAAUGGGCGCAAGCCUGAUCCAGCCAUACCGCGUGGGUGAAGAAGGCCUUCGGGUUGGAAAGCCAUUUUGUUGGGAAAGAAAAGCAGCAGGUUAAUACCCCGCUGUUCUGACGGUACCCAAAGAAUAAGCACCGGCUAACUUCGUG
rnacentral:rRNA from 1 species